GACGAACGCUGGCGGCGUGCUUAACACAUGCAAGUCGAACGGAAAGGCCCUGCUUUUUUGGGGUGCUCGAGUGGCGACCGGGUGAGUUACACGUGAGUACCCUGCCCUUGACUUUGGGAUAACUUCAGGAAACUGGGUCUCAUACCGCAUAGGAGCUCCUGCUUCUUGGUGGGGGUUGAAAAGUUUCGGCGGUUGGGGAUGGACUCGCGGCUUAUCAGCUUGUUGGUGGGGUAGUGGCUUACCAUGGCUUUGACGGGUAGCCGGCCUGAGAGGGUGAGCGGCAAAGAUGGGACGGGGAUAAGGCACAGACUCGAAUGGGAGGCAGCGGUGGGGAAUAGAACACAAGGGGAGGAAGGAAGAUGUAACAAAGCAGCGUGGGGGAUGAGGGGCUUCGGGUUGGAAACCGAAGUCGCCUGUGACGAAGCGUGAGUGACGGUAACGGGUAAAGAAGCACCGGCUAACUACGUG
rnacentral:rRNA from 1 species